rnacentral:rRNA from 1 species
AUUGAACGCUGGCGGAAUGCUUUACACAUGCAAGUCGAACGGUAGAGGGGGCAACCCCCUUGAGAGUGGCGAACGGGUGAGUAAUAUAUCGGAACGUGCCCAGUCGUGGGGAUAACGUAGCGAAAGUUACGCUAAUACCGCAUACGAUCUAAGGAUGAAAGCGGGGGAUCGCAAGACCUCGCGCGAUUGGAGCGGCCGAUAUCAGAUUAGGUAGUUGGUGGGGUAAAGGCUCACCAAGCCAACGAUCUGUAGCUGGUCUGAGAGGACGACCAGCCACACUGGAACUGAGACACGGUCCAGACUCCUACGGGAGGCAGCAGUGGGGGAAUUUUGGUACAAAUGGGGCGAAAGGACCUGAUCCAGCCAUGCCGCGUGUGUGAAGAAGGCUUCGAUUGUAAAGACACUUUAAGUUUAGGGUAGGG